AGGCUUAAUUAAUUCAUAUACUGAUUAGGUUUUAGCUUUUUUUUUGUAUAGAUAUGGCCUCAAACUUAUCGCUCCGAUCACUAUUGGAUAGUGAGAAGUUGAUGAGAUCCAAUAUUGAUAACUGGUACCAAAAAGUCAAAAUCAUCCUGGAGCACGAGUGAAUUUUGUAUGUGAUUAUAGAUCCGACACCUGAAGCCUGCUCCCAAUGCCUGUGGUAUGAUUCGAGAUACUU
rnacentral:lncRNA from 1 species